AUUGAACGCUGGCGGCAGGCCUAACACAUGCAAGUCGAGCGGAUGAAGGGAGCUUGCUCCUGGAUUCAGCGGCGGACGGGUGAGUAAUGCCUAGGAAUCUGCCUGGUAGUGGGGGAUAACGUCCGGAAACGGGCGCUAAUACCGCAUACGUCCUGAGGGAGAAAGUGGGGGAUCUUCGGACCUCACGCUAUCAGAUGAGCCUAGGUCGGAUUAGCUAGUUGGUGGGGUAAAGGCCUACCAAGGCGACGAUCCGUAACUGGUCUGAGAGGAUGAUCAGUCACACUGGAACUGAGACACGGUCCAGACUCCUACGGGAGGCAGCAGUGGGGAAUAUUGGACAAUGGGCGAAAGCCUGAUCCAGCCAUGCCGCGUGUGUGAAGAAGGUCUUCGGAUUGUAAAGCACUUUAAGUUGGAAGGAAGGGCAGUAAGUUAAUACCUUGCUGUUUUGACGUUACCAACAGAAUAAGCACCGGCUAACUUCGUG
rnacentral:rRNA from 1 species